ACGCUCGACACCUACGGAGGCAGCAGUGGGGAAUAUUGCACAAUGGGGGAAACCCUGAUGCAGCAACGCCGCGUGAAGGAAGACGGUUUUCGGAUUGUAAACUUCUAUUCUUAGUGAAGAUAGUGACGGUAGCUAAGGAGCAAGCCACGGCUAACUACGUGCCAACAGCCGCGGUAAUCUGAGCGGGCUGGCAAGGC
rnacentral:rRNA from 1 species